CAGCCGCCGCGGGAAAACAGAGGAUGCAAGCGUUAUCCGGAAUGAUUGGGCGUAAAGCGCGCGUAGGUGGUUUGUUAAGUCGAAUGUGAAAUCCCCGGGCUCAACCUGGGAACUGCAUCCGAAACUGGCAAGCUAGAGUAUGGUAGAGGGUAGUGGAAUUUCCUGUGUAGCGGUGAAAUGCGUAGAUAUAGGAAGGAACACCAGUGGCGAAGGCGACUACCUGGACUGAUACUGACACUGAGGUGCGAAAGCGUGGGGAGCAAACAGGAUUAGAUACCCCUGUAGUCCCUGUCUCUUAUAC
rnacentral:rRNA from 1 species